CCUACGGGAGGCAGCAGUGAGGAAUAUUGGUCAAUGGACGAGAGUCUGAACCAGCCAAGUAGCGUGAAGGAUGACUGCCCUAUGGGUUGUAAACUUCUUUUAUAAAGGAAUAAAACGAGGCACGUGUGCCUUUUUGCAUGUACUUUAUGAAUAAGGAUCGGCUAACUCCGUGCCAGCAGCCGCGGUAAUACGGAGGAUCCGAGCGUUAUCCGGAUUUAUUGGGUUUAAAGGGAGCGUAGAUGGGUUGUUAAGUCAGUUGUGAAAGUUUGCGGCUCAACCCCGUCCGGCCGUUGAAACUGGGGGCCUUGAGUGGGCGAGAAGAAGGCGGAAUGCGUGGUGUAGCGGUGAAAUGCAUAGAUAUCACGCAGAACCCCGAUUGCGAAGGCAGCCUUCCGGCGCCCUACUGACGCUGAGGCACGAAAGUGCGGGGAUCGAACAGGAUUAGAUACCCUAGUAGUC
rnacentral:rRNA from 1 species